ACGUAGGGGGCAAGCGUUGUCCGGAUUUACUGGGUGUAAAGGGCGCGUAGGCUGAUUUGUAAGUCAGUGGUGAAAUACUGCAGCUUAACUGCAGAACUGCCAUUGAUACUGCAAAUCUUGAGUUCAGAAGAGAGAAGCGGAAUUCCAGGUGUAGUGGUGAAAUACGUAGAUAUCUGGAAGAACACCAGUGGCGAAGGCGGCUUCUUGGUCUGUAACUGACGCUGAGGCGCGAAAGCGUGGGGAUCAAACAGGAUUAGAUACCCUGGUAGUCCACGCUGUAAACGAUGAAUACUAGGUGUUGGAUACAUUAGUAUCCAGUGCCGCAGCGAACGCAUUAAGUAUUCCACCGGGGGAGUACGAUCGCAAGGUUGA
rnacentral:rRNA from 1 species